AUAAAUAAAAUACCAUCACCAUGUUUAACAAGAUAGUUCAGUACAAAUGUUGGACAAAGGGAAAAUGGAGGAGGUGAUCGAGCAAGAGUAUGAACAUCCAUAUUAUGCUCCCUACAAGAGAAGGUCAGCAAUAAUCCAACAGAUUCCCCAAUUGCAUACAUUGAUAACAUACUACAUGUUCUAUACACUAUAUCACAAGAACAGAUCAAGCUGUAGUUCAACUUCAGAAGUUUGACAAUGAUGAAUGCAAACAUGGUUUUUUUUUUUUUUUUUUUUUAANNNNNNNNNNNNNNNNNNNNNNNNNNNNNNNNNNNNNNNNNNNNNNNNNNNNNNNNNNNNNNNNNNNNNNNNNNNNNNNNNNNNNNNNNNNNNNNNNNNNNNNNNNNNNNNNNNNNNUAGAUCCACUCUAUUUCUUUCUCAUCCCUGAAACAAAGAAACAAAAUCUCACUAUUAAUAAUUAAAAAUAUUAGUAAUUAUUAAAAUCUCAGCAUCAAUAUAAUUUUACAAGAUAUAAGAGAAGAAAUAAUAAAUAUCAAAAGAAAAUAGAAAUAAAAAAAUAAAAAAUAAAAAGAAAAAUCUAACCAAAGGGAGACCUUUGGUUAGAUACUUAAAAAUACUUCAAGGAUAUUUUCCUAUUUUUAACAAUUAUGAUGUACUUUUCACUUGGCCAAGUCUCAUUACUAUUUAACAAUGAAUCAUACAAUUAAAGUUUGACAAAUAUGCCUCAGUAUAUUAUCAAGCAGUUAAUCAAACUUAAUUAUACAGGUCCUGUGCGAUUUUUCUAUUGAAUGACUAAACAUUUUCAGAGAUUCUUUGUCUGAAUAAUUAACCUCAUUCUCGACUCCUCAUGUCCCUGAUAUCCCAACAGUAUAUAUCCAUCUCUGUGUUUAACCUGAAGUAUAUCCCAAUCCAAAAUAAUGCAUCUCUCAGCAAUCAAUAAAAUAAGAGUUACAAAAUACAAGCAGCCAGAAUACCUAGUCCAUGCAUCUCUCAGUCUAUAGUUAACAAUCAUGCUACCAUUUCCUGCAAACAUUUUUUGAGAACACCCAAUAAUUACUUGUAAAUUCAAGUCUAUAUCUAUUGUCAUAAUAGAUGUUAUAUACCUUAAGCUGAGCACACACAGUGACUCCAACGUACACAUUACCGGGGAAAGGUACAUUUCCUAUAUAAAUUAGGAGAAAGUUAAACUUCACUGCUUUGGAAGUAGUAUUCUCACCUAUCAGUUAUGUUAAGUUAAAGAAUAUUUAUUUCUAAAUUUGCGAUCUCUCCUAAUAAGUUAAUAAGAUACUAAUUUGAAUUAGCACCCUCUUUAGAGUAGUUCUUAUCGUGCCAGCCUGUCAUUUAUAUAGUUUUCAGUUCCACAGCAUGAUCAUGUUAUUUAAAACUAUGCAGUCUUCACUGCAAGAUUUAAGGAAUUCAAUUAUAAUUAUCAUAACUAAUAGCUAAUGGAUUAAGUUAAACCUUAUGAUCUGGUAUUAUUGGAUACUUCUAUCAUGCUACUAAAUAUUAAUUCUAUGUUAUUAAUGUGUUAAUUAUAUAAACAGUCUAUUCAAAUUGCCUACCAUAAAUCUGUCAAUAAAGUGCAUGCUAUAAUUAAGGAGUUGACCAAUCUUGCCAAUCCGUGAAAUCCUCCAGGCUAAAAAGGAAUUAAUUUCUAUGCUAUUGAUGUGUUAAAUAUAUAAACAGUUUAUUCAAAUUGCCUACUAUAAAUCUGUCAAAAAAAGAGCCUGCUAUAAUUAAGGAUUUGACCAAUCUUGCCAAUCCGUGGAAUCCUGGCUAAAAAUGAAUUAAUUUAUAUUUGAACAAUCAUGUUACUUAUUAUUAGGAAUUUUUCGCUGCAGAAUUUAAGGGAUACAAUUAUGUCUAUCAUAUCUAAUUACUAAUGGAUUAAGUUACCUUUUGGUUAGAGUAUAAUUAGCAUCUUCUAUUUGAAGAUACCAUAACUUUACCAAAUAGUUACUCGGCACUAUUAAUGUGUUAAAUUUAUAUAUAUUGUCUAUUCAGAGUUCAUACUAUAAUUUGGGAUUUCCGGAGAAUCCUCUGGGCGUAAAUUGGGAAUUAAUUUAUAUUCCUUCACGCUUUUAUAUUAAAAUCGUGUUUGUAGUUUCCAUAAAUCCUCCAGUAUACAUCACCUAUUCCUAGCACUUUGGUAAAAAUAUCAGUUACGAAUGAAAUAAUAAGUGAAAUUUCAUGGCUUUAACCAUUCGUUUACCUAAUAUUUCCAUCACCCUUCUUUUUGUCAAACUGGUUACUUUAACAUGUUUUAUAUGUCAGAGAUCUCAUCCAUCAUAUAUGAUGAUACAUUGCCUCUUAAAGGCACUAAUUUGCCAUCCAUCAUGGCCCCCAUGAGUCAUAUAACAUCAUGGCACAUUUUCCUCGAAAUAAAUUAGUCUAUACUAAUUCUAAAGAAUAAAUAUAUAUCUACAUUAGAGGCAUGUAAAAAGAGAUUCUGACUAUUUAACCUUGCUAAAUAAACAGUAAAGAAUAGAAAGCAAUCUAACCGGGUAAACUAAAUUGAAAAGAAAAUAGAAUGAGUGGAAUCUCAAAGAAAAGGUACCUGCCGAGAAUCUAAAUGGAAAAACUAUAAAUCUAUCAUGAGUAAAACAACCAUCAGCAUUCCCGAUUAUACAUAUCAUUGCAUUCUAACUUAACAGUAAUACCGGAAUAAUAGGGGAGAGAAGACAAGUGGGAAAUAAACACAAGACAAGGUAGAAAUCUUUAACCGAUCACAAUAGCAACAUCAACUUAACACUUCUCAGCAUAUGAAGGAUAAAAUAAGAAUAUACCUCGUCUUACUGUUGUAUCUGACCCUUCAGAGAGUUAAACAUGACAUUUGCUGUAGUCGUUCUUUGACAUUGUAAGAGAGAGUUCCCUCUUCACUGCUUCUCCCCCUGCCAUGAGUCAUCUCCGCACGCUGCUGUGCGCUAUAUGAAAUUGAUUCUACUCCCCUCCUGAUUUGGACGAGCUUGGUUGACUUGGCUAUAGAUGGAUUGCCAUACAGCAAACAUCAUUUCUCUCCGUCAUUCCAUCAAACACCUCCCGAGCACAAUCCACAUACCUAUUUUUUGAACAACGCGAUGAGGAAAGUGACAAGCCCAGGAAGAACAUUGACACGAGCACCAGUCUCGACACACAGCUUCUUGACAGUCUCUCCUCUCUUGCCAAUGAUAGUAUAUAAAUAUGAUUGUUGGUUGGAAAUAAACAAGAUUAGAUCUUGGUUUUAUUGAAAAACUAGUAAAAUAAUAGAGGGAAUGAGAGAGCGAAUGAGUUAAUUGAUGAUGAAAAGAUGGUUGUUGUAGUUUAAGUUUCCGGUUAAUCGGGAGGUUCUUGCGGUGAUCUCUUUGUAUUAGUGACAUGUAUUAUGUGUAGUAUAAAUGCAAACAUGGUUUGUAAAUAAAUAUAUACAUAAAUUAUGCAUAUCAUUUAUUCCGAGUUGUACAUUAACAUCAAAAUAAAUAACAGCACAGGCGCAUUAGUCUUCUUAGAACUCAAACAUAAAACGAAUGCAGU
rnacentral:lncRNA from 1 species